AUUGAACGCUGGCGGCAGGCCUAACACAUGCACGUCGAGCGGAGCGGCGGACGGGUGAGUAAUGCCUAGGACUCUGCCUGGUAGUGGGGGCUAACGUCCGGAAACGGGCGCUAAUCCCGCAUACUAUCAGAUGAGCCUAGGUCGGAUUAGCGAGUUGGUGGGGUAAAGGCCUACCAAGGCGACGAUACGUAACUGGUCUGAGAGGAUGAUCAGUCAAACUGGAACGGAGACACGGUCCAGACGGCUAGGGGAGGAAGAAGGGGGGAAGAUUGGACAAUUGGCGAAAGCCUGAUCCAGCCAUGCCGCGUGUGUGAAGAAGGUCUUCGGAUUGUAAAGCACUUUAAGUUGGGAGGCGUUACCAACAGAAUAAGCACCGGCUAACUUCGUGCCAGCAGCCGCGGUAAUAC
rnacentral:rRNA from 1 species